rnacentral:tRNA from 2 species
CAUUAAGAAGCUAUGCACCAGCACUAGCCUUUUAAGCUAGAGAAAGAGGAAGCCCGCCCCUCCUUAAUGA